GAUGAACGCUGGCGGCGUGCCUAAUACAUGCAAGUCGAGCGCACAGACGAGGAGCUUGCUCCUCUGACGUUAGCGGCGGACGGGUGAGUAACACGUGGAUAACCUACCUAUAAGACUGGGAUAACUUCGGGAAACCGGAGCUAAUACCGGAUAAUAUAUUGAACCGCAUGGUUCAAUAGUGAAAGACGGUUUUGCUGUAACUUAUAGAUGGAUCCGCGCCGCAUUAGCUAGUUGGUAAGGUAACGGCUUACCAAGGCAACGAUGCGUAGCCGACCUGAGAGGGUGAUCGGCCACACUGGAACUGAGACACGGUCCAGACUCCUACGGGAGGCAGCAGUAGGGAAUCUUCCGCAAUGGACGAAAGCCUGACGGAGCAACGCCGCGUGAGUGAUGAAGGUCUUCGGAUCGUAAAACUCUUUUAUUAGGGAAGAACAAAUGUGUAAGUAACUAUGCACGUCUUGACGGUACCUUAUCAGAAAGCCACGGCUAACUACGUG
rnacentral:rRNA from 1 species